CCUACGGGGGGCUGCAGUAAGGAAUAUUGGUCAAUGGACGAAAGUCUGAACCAGCCAUGCCGCGUGAAGGAUGAAGGUCCUCUGGAUUGUAAACUUCUUUUCUCUGGGACGAAACAAGGGAAUUCUUUCUCACUUGACGGUACCAGAAGAAUAAGCACCGGCUAACUCCGUGCCAGCAGCCGCGGUCAUACGGAGGGUGCAAGCGUUAUCCGGAUUCACUGGGUUUAAGGGGGGCGUAGAUGUCAGGUUAGAAAUCUCCGGGCUUAACCCGGAAACUGCCAUUGAUACUAUCUGUCUUGAAUACUCUGGAGGUAAGCGGAAUAUGUCAUGUAGCGGUGAAAUGCUUAGAUAUGACAUAGAACACCGAUUGCGAAGGCAGCUUACUACGGAGUCAUUGACACUGAGGCACGAAAGCGUGGGGAUCAAACAGGAUUAGAUACCCCAGUAGUC
rnacentral:rRNA from 1 species